rnacentral:snoRNA from 1 species
UGGCGAUCACCAAGCUACAUUUAGAGUGCAGUUUCUCAGUUGCCAUGGGCACGACCUUAAAGAAUGUUUCCCACAGGUCUGUCAUCUCCUACACCAUGCCAGACUCCCACCUACCGAGCACCCUG